rnacentral:rRNA from 1 species
AUGAACGCUGGCGGCAGGCCUAACACAUGCAAGUCGAGCGGAUGACAGGAGCUUGCUCCUGGAUUCAGCGGCGGACGGGUGAGUAAUGCCUAGGAAUCUGCCUGGUAGUGGGGGACAACGUUUCGAAAGGAACGCUAAUACCGCAUACGUCCUACGGGAGAAAGCAGGGGACCUUCGGGCCUUGCGCUAUCAGAUGAGCCUAGGUCGGAUUAGCUAGUUGGUGAGGUAAUGGCUCACCAAGGCGACGAUCCGUAACUGGUCUGAGAGGAUGAUCAGGCACCCUGGAACUGAGACACGGUCCAGACUCCUACGGGAGGCAGCAGUGGGGAAUAUUGGACAAUGGGCGAAAGCCUGAUCCAGCCAUGCCGCGUGUGUGAAGAAGGUCUUCGGAUUGUAAAGCACUUUAAGUUGGGAGGAAGGGUUGUAGAUUAAUACUCUGCAAUUUUGACGUUACCGACAGAAUAAGCACCGGCUAACUCUGUGCCAGCAGCCGCCGUAAAAC